rnacentral:sRNA from 1 species
CCUUGCUGCCCUCUUUGGGCGUUUCCUCCCUAGACUUCGGGCCACCCGCAAGGGUGGCCUUUUUUCUUUGGGGCA